AUGUCAUGGUGAGGACACUUCCUAAGCAAUUCAUUGAAGCGUUCCCAUGCCUCGUGGAAAAUUUCUCCUUCCCCAUGUGUGAAUUCUCUAAUGGCGGUUCUCAUAACAU